CAUAAGCCUAGAAUACAUAUUCCCAUAAAUAUAUAUAUACUCAAUUACCCAUAAAUAUACUCAAUUAUUAGUAGGCGGAAAGCAGAAAAUAAGUGGCCAGAAGGCAUGCAUGGACAAAAUGUUUACAAAGGGAACAUACAUCAAUAAAAUAUACAUUUGAAGAACUGUUUAUGCAAAUAAUACAUAUCAUUAUGGCGCGCGUAUGGAAGGGUGUGUAGGAAUCUAAGUUAGGGAUGGUCUGGUUUUCUAGGGUUAGUGGAAAGAAGGGAAUUUUGAGAUAUGCCCUGGGAAAGGAUUCUGGGUAGGAAAGAAUUGUGGGAGUUUUAAACUGAAAAUAACUGAACUUCACUUCCUUCUUGGAUUUUAGCUGAGCUGGGAGUGAGUUUUGUCCCUCUGCCUACAAUUUCAAGCUGGAGGAGUUUUGCUCUAAGAGAUUCUCCCUGGAAAGUCGGGAUUUUCGUGGAGAAAUCUUUGGCAUCCAGGUAGAGGGUUUACUUGGAGGAAACUAAUUUCCCUGAGUCCAGUCUUCAUCUGCCAGUGGUCCAUCUACCAGAAUUCCUAUUGGCUAAGGAUCUUUAUUAAUUAUGGAAUGGAACUGGAGAGCAACUUUCUAUAUCUGGUCCAGCCUACCAUCAAUCCCAAUUAAUGGAAUGUGGGAAGACUAAGAAGUCUCUUCCAAGUCAAGUCCAAAAGUUCAGUUUUAAUCAACAUGCUGGGGAACAAAUGAGCUUAGAAAUGGACCAGACUCCAAGGGCAAAAAGGAGAUGAUCAUUACCAGACUUUGGGGAAAACCUUUAUGUUGCAUUCAUCCCUAUUUUCUUCAGUGGUGGGAGAAAAAUGAAGUUAGAAGGGGAACUGGCUAUCAACAAGGUGAAGACUGGACACAGUCCUGAAGGCAUUAAGACCAAAGCCUGCCAACCCGUAGAGAUGGUCAAGGAGUUCAAGGGAAUAGGCAGCUGUGUGGAGUGUGACCUCUACCCUCUAUCAAAGGGCAUAGAUAAGGGUCACUUUGCCUCCUGGUGCAGCGAUGGUGGCCACAUAAAGCUUCCUUUGAAGGUGACUGGAGUCUUGAGCUUGAAUCAGUACCACAGGGAUACAGGGAAAGGCAAGACUCCACUCCCCUGUCAAACUCUGACAAUGUGUGAUAGCGCAGGUGUUUAUGCUCUGUACUACUGUUUGACAAGGCUAAUGUAGAACUGAAUUAAAUAUUAAUUUGUCUAAUAUGUUAGACAUAUAGAAGUAGACAGGGAACACAGCUGGCAAAAUUGCAUUUCUGACUGUUAAGACUACUGUUAUAGUCUUCUUUGUACCUCAUGCUGUUUUCAUACCACUAGACUGAUGUUUAUUUUUACAGGAUCACGCCUGCUGUCAUCCAUAUCAUUACCACCUCAUCUCCUUCUAGGAUAUAGUAAAAAGUAAUCAAUAAUGUAUACUAUAAGAAGGUCUUCAGACGUUAAGUUCUCCCUGUUAUCUCCUGAUAAUAAAUGACUAAAAAAUUCCUUCUAAAAUUCA
rnacentral:lncRNA from 1 species